UCACGAAGUGAACGGACUGAGAAGAGCAAGGGGAACAGGAAGCAGGCCUCUGAGCCCAAGCUAAGCCAUCAUAUCUCCUGUGACCUGCACGUAUACAUCCAGAUGGCCUGAAGUAACUGAGGAAUCACAAAAGAAGUGAAAAUGCCCUGUUCCUGCCUUAACUGAUGACAUUACCUUGUGAAAUUCCUUCUCCUGGCUCAUCCUGGCUCAAAAGCUCCCCCACUGAGCACCUUGUGACUCCCACCCCUGCCAGCCAGAGAACAACCCCCUUUGACUGUAAUUUUCCAUUACCCAAAUCCUAUAAAACAGCUCCACCCCAUCUCCCUUCAUUGACUCUCUUUUUGAACUCAGCCUGCCUGUACCCAGGUGAUAAAAAGCUUUAUUGCUCACACAAAGACUGUUUGGUGGUCUCUUCACAAGGACGCAAGUGAAAUUAUUAUUUAAGCCUUCCAACAUAUCUAAUAUCUGAACCUCAACUCUUCAUCUUACUAGCUAAAUGACAUCAGGGGAACAACUUAUUAACCUCUCUAAGUCUGUUUAUUCACCUGUGGGUAAUACCAUUAACAUCUCCUUAAUAGAUUUGUGGUAAUAAUUGAAUGAGGUCUUCAGUGUAGAGAGCUAAACACUAUGCCCAUUUAAAAAGUGAUUGCUGCUGCUCUAUCUUCCCAGCCCAGGGGGUUCUUGGACAUUCUCCCCGUGAUGAGUGCCCCUCUUCUGAAGUGGGGGUAGAAUGUAGUGGUUUCUUAAAGAGGAUCACUCAUGUUAGGAUCACUGAGCUUGGGUUUUAAUAUCUGUAUGUAUGGGACUGGGUU
rnacentral:lncRNA from 1 species